rnacentral:rRNA from 1 species
CGCUGGCGGCGUGCCUAAUACAUGCAAGUCGAACGCACUCUCGUUUAGAUUGAAGGAGCUUGCUCCUGAUUGAUAAACAUUUGAGUGAGUGGCGGACGGGUGAGUAACACGUGGGUAACCUGCCCUAAAGUGGGGAUAACAUUUGGAAACAGAUGCUAAUACCGCAUAAAACCUAACACCGCAUGGUGUAGGGUUGAAAGAUGGUUUCGGCUAUCACUUUAGGAUGGACCCGCGGUGCAUUAGUUAGUUGGUGAGGUAAAGGCUCACCAAGACCGUGAUGCAUAGCCGACCUGAGAGGGUAAUCGGCCACACUGGGACUGAGACACGGCCCAGACUCCUACGGGAGGCAGCAGUAGGGAAUCUUCCACAAUGGACGAAAGUCUGAUGGAGCAACGCCGCGUGAGUGAAGAAGGUUUUCGGAUCGUAAAACUCUGUUGUUGGAGAAGAAUGUAUCUGAUAGUAACUGAUCAGGUAGUGACGGUAUCCAACCAGAAAGCCACGGCUAACUACGUG